CAUAAUUUUUUGUGUCUUUUUUUUAAGAUUAAUUUCAUACAGAUCCCUACAAACAUAGUAAAUUAUAAAUAUAUUCCUAUAAAAUUCAAUUUUCAUAUGUUGUUCCUACAAAAGUCCUAAUAUUUUCAAAUAUAUCUUCCUGGUUUGUUACCAUUAAAAUACAUGUUUAUUUUAUAAGUAAAAUGACAUUUUUACCAUCACAAAUAUGUCCCUUCAAAAAUUUUAACUAUUAAUUAAAGAGGGGUAAAAAAAUUAAUUCACCUUAUUAAAUAACUAGAGUUAAGUAUUCUAUUUAUGGUUAACUAAGACUUUCUAACGGAUCCUAACGAUAAGAACAUAUUUGAAAACAUCAAAAUUUUUGUAAGAACAACAUAUGAAAAUUGAACUUUCUAGACAUAUAUUUAUAGAACUAGGCUGGAAUACUAUUAAUUGCACCAAUGACUUGAUGCUAUUAAGCUUUCUGCCCUUGGAUUAAAAAAUGUGCGGUUAAGAUGAUGUGGGCCUUCUAGGGUUGAGUGAGUGGUUGGUUGAAUAGUAUAAUCGAAUGGAUAAAAAUGAUAAAAGAGAUAAAUCUAACGACAGAAAACUUGAUAACACCAAAUAUUUCGUGCUAUUGAUAGUAUCUCAGCCGGACUCUAUAUUUGCAAUUUAUUAUAUUUAUAGGGAUUUGUAUGAUUUUUCUUUUUCUUUUUUUUUUCAAGGUGGGGC
rnacentral:lncRNA from 1 species